UACCAUUGACAGGCACAGAGAUGUGCUCUCCUUCGGGCAAUGGAUUACAGGUUGGUGCAUGGUUGUCGUCAGCUCGUGCCGUGAGGUGUUGGUUAAGUCCCGCAACGAGCGCAACCCUCAUUGUUAGUUACUACCAUUCAGUUGAGGACUCUAAUGAGACUGCCAACGACAAGUUGGAGGAAGGUGGGGAUGACGUCAAAUCAUCAUGCCCUUUAUGACCUGGGCUACAAACGUACUACAAUGGCCAAUACAAAGAGAUGCGAAGCGGUGACGUGGAGCGAACCUCAGAAAGUUGGUCUCAGUUCAGAUUGAAGUCUGCAACUCGACUUCAUGAAGGCGGAAUCGCUAGUAAUCGCGGGUCAGCAGACCGCGGUGAAUACGUUCCCGGGUUU
rnacentral:rRNA from 1 species